UUUUUUUUUUUUUUUUUUUUUCCGGUUAAAUACAAAAAACUCCCUUCUAGUUUAGCCAAUCGCACGUGUUAACCCUUUAUAGUUUGAAAACUUACAAUUUAAUCCCUAUGGUUUGAAUGAAAGUGAAACGGCUAGUUUUCUUGUUAGAUUUGACAGCCAACAGGUUAAAAUUAUUUGAUUAUUAUACAAUAAAACAUAUAGGAUUAAUCUUUUAUACACUAAUAGUAUAUACAUUUUUAUCAUCAAAUACAUGACACAUAAUUCUAAAUUUAAAUUUGUAAUAAUUUCAUCAUUGUUUCGUUGCAAUAAUUUGACUAUUAAAUUUAACGGAAAAAACCAACGGUUUCACUUUGAUGCAAAUUAUAGGGGUUUAAUUGUAGAUUUUCAAAAGAUGGGGAGUUAACUUGUACAAUCACCUAACUACAAAAAGGUUUUUUGCAUUUAACUCUUUUUUUUUUUUUGGGGCUUCUGGACUCUGGUGUUAAAAUUGAGCAGGCAACUAAGAUAGCUUAGAGUUCAAGUUAUACGUACAAUUCACUUGAGUUUGUACUUGGUACCCAUGGACAGCAAAUGGGCAAUGGUUGUGUGCGUGGAUGUAAAAAAGCUCAAAACUUGCCAUUACAAUCCUUUCUCGGUAAAUUUAACAUCUAAAACUUGAGUUUGUACUUGGUACCCAUGGACAGCAAAUCGGCAAUGGUUGUGGGCGUGGAUGUAAAAAAGCUCAAAACUUGCAAUUACAAUCCAUAUAACGCUAUUUAGUCAAUGGUGUCAGCUUCGCCUAUUCUAUGUCGCCUAUGCUCAAAAUCAGAUUCAGAAGUCUAUUGGCUACAAAUGCUUAUCAAGUUGAGUCCAAUUUAACUACUCUCUCAAAACAUUUGUCUCUUCAUUAGAGCAAGCAACUGUUGCCAUAGAUCGGAGGUUUAACGAGACAAUGGUUCCGACGUGGUACAAUGGUGCAAUUAAAUAGUCAUGACAAAUACCCAAUACUAAGGGAUUUUUUAACGGAUGCUCAAUAGAGGGGCUCGUUAAGACACUUAUAUUCUAUCAAACCUAUCAUAUAUAUAUAUAUAUAUAUAUAUAGUAAUAAUUACUAUUAAUUUUCCUUGCAUUUAUACACUUUAUAUAAUUAAUUCCCUUACAUUUCAUUUAUACGCUUUUCUUAAUUAAUAUUAUAUUUCUCAAAAUUUAACACCUAAAAUACAUCUUGAUAAUAUUCGUUAGACAGAGCGAAAAAAAAAUCAUAGUCAAAUGUAGAGAUUACUAUCUAUGAGGAGGAAAAAUUGGAGGUGUUCUUAAUUCCUAAUUACAGAUAAAAUCUGUCUUGAUCUUUACUUUACAGGUUCGCAGACGUUUGACUUUUAAUAUCGAAUUUUUCAAAGGAAAGUGAUCAGCCAAUUUCGGCGUAUACUAAAAUUCAAUAUAUGCGGGAUAGUAAUCGAUUCCUGUACGUGUGAAAAACUUCAUUGCCGUGUGAAAGAUUUAAAUUCCAUUAGCAUCAACCAAAAAGAAAAAAAAAAAAGAUGAUUCUUUCUGCACGUACUAUUCAGUAGUGUUUAACUACCGCAACCUGAGGUCAAGAGAAACGGAUCCGACGACCUUCCGGAUGAUGCAUUAUACUUUUGCCUUUUCUCGUAUGAACGCAGAUUGCCGUGAUUGGGCCUCAUGAUCAUAAAAGUUCAUGCUUGAAUUGAAUUGAGCAGAAGAUCCGGUCCGAUGGGGCGGGUCAGGGAAGUUCAAUUCAUAUUUCCCGCCGUAUAUUGCGGAAAUGUUGCGAUUUUAAAUUAGAUUAGAUUCACAUAACACGCAACGGGAAUGCAGUCAACUGGAUUUGGUGCCUUCCCCCUCAAGUGUCUAUUUAUUACAUCGGUUGGUGUUAUUUGGAAAAUUUUCUGAAUACAAAGGGUACAAUAAUUAUGGUUGUAUAUAUUCAUAGAAUAAAUUAGAUAUAAUUGAAGUAUACUAAUCUAGAGGUCAGACAAUUGAUUAAAAAAAAAAAAAGAAUAGCUAUUGGAAAAAUCUUUGUGAGGUAACCAGCAUUUUAAAUAAAUUCACUAUCCUUAUUGUUCUAGUGCCUAGUUAUUUUGUUGGGAAUGCAGCAUAGAUGUGUUUCCAAAUCUCAUAAGCAACUAGUAUUAACAUCUACCCAAAAAAAGAAGAAGAAGAUGAUACUGCUAAAGAAAUGGGAUUUUGCUUUAGAACAUAUAAUAAAUGCAUUAAAUCAACACCUUUUCCAAUUAAAGAUUUAGUAAAUCUUACCGCUUGAUUGCUAGAAUGGAAUGGCAAAUUAUUUAUUGCAAUAGAAGUGAUCGUCUUUCCUUUGUGUGAUAUCGUCGAACUUAAUUUUGACUAAUUUGGCUAAGGUUCGGUGGGAAAGGGGGGGGGGGGGUGGGGGAUCCCUAUUUGCUACGUUAUGAUCAAUUCCUUUUUCAAAGGAAGGAAAAGUGAGUGGAGUCAUGGCUAUCAAAAGUAGUAACCUAAACCCUACCCACUAAAUAGUGAAUUAAUGUUACUAAUCCAGAGUCCGAAAGCAGGUACUUGGCUUUUAUUGUCCACUAAUGACUAAUGUAACUGGCUUUAUUGUCCACUAAUGACUAAGGAUUCACGUCCUGCCUACCAUUUUCUAUUCAGCUAUAAGUUAUCUGUCCCAAAAGUAUAGUUGAAAUUGAAUUUGUUCUUGUUACCGCAUUUUCUGGUUGUUUUUUUAAAAAAAAAAAUUUACGCAUAAAUAUGCUUUUAUACUGCGUAUGAGCUAAGUUACUCAUGCAUAUAUUACAAGAACUUGCUGCCACGUUUGUUAUUCAUGAGCUAAGUUAUUCUUUUGUGAGUUACUUUUUUUUUUAAAAAAAAAAAAACUUUAAACAAGUGAGGGUGGGACUUAGGAAGCAAGAGAGGGGUAAGAGAAUUCUUUUCUUUUCUUUUUUUUUUUGGUGAGCUACUUGUAAUUAUAAAAAUUGAAAAUAAAAAAUACUUGUACGCAAGAGUGUGCGAAGGCUUGGGGAAGGAAAAAUCCUAAUUUAUUACAAGAGGCUACCUAUUGCUGCUCUUGUACUGUACUUGCUUUGCUUGCCUGCCAAGUUACAAUAAAAUUUGCAAUUUUGACAGGAAUAGGCCAGCCACCGAAAAGGAGUCACAGAGUUAUGGCUCUUGGCAUAACAUCAAAUCAUUGAAAACAAAAUGAAAAUUGUUGAAUGACGAAGGAGGAAUUCUCAGUAGUGUGCAGGUCACAGCUUGAUCCCGUAGAUAUAUACAGUAUCUGAUUCAUCAGUCGCCCAAUCCACAAGACAUACCACGCAUAAUUCUCGAUAGUGUACAAGUCACAGCUUGAUGUUGACGUCUGCGUGAUUCCCAAUUCAAUUCGUUUUUUUUUUUUUUGGAAGCAUACCCAAUUCAUUUUUUUUUCAUUGAACACAGGAUCCGCCUCAACAGAACAGGCUCUACUAUUAGGAAAACAAUGGCUCAAUGGAAGAUUAAUUAAGCUUGAUCAGUGGUCAAUUGACUUCAUGAUAUUCUGAUGAUGGAUCACGUAUUAACAACCAUUCCAUUGACAAAAGCUAAUGGCUCAAUGGAGGAUGUUUUGGAUUUUUAUGAUGAUGAAACGUGCGUGGCAUCUCUUGACCUUUUCUAGCGGAAGUUAGAGAUUCGGCUUCUAUAAACCUAGAUUUCAGAAGAAAUUUAAAAGAUCGGCAACUUUUUGGAUCUUUCCAGGGCUUAUAAACCCAAACCCAACCCCCCAGAACCAAUGUGGGAUGAAACGUGCGUGGCAUGAUUGAAGACUUUUUAAUUUGAAGCAACUUUCGAAAGACGCCCAGCAGCAUACGUGUCACGACGAAAGAAACAAGUUGCAUCCGACUUUAUAACCUACGAUACAAGAAUUAGGAAUCAGACAUGAAUAUGCCUGCAGAUGCACAAUUAAUUCCAGCAAAAGCUGAUUGGAAUAUUGGAUUGAGUGUAUGCGGCAAUUUCUAUGAUAUGAUCCAACAGCAUACCAUACAAGUAGUGGUCGGUCGCAUGCAUAUGCAUUGCGAUGGUUCCGGCCGACAAAAUUUAUUCUUAAUGCAUGUCCAGAGAUGUUUUGUUGUAUUACCUAUCCGUUUCUUGAUGCUCUGUGCUGGGCAUACGACCUAAUUAAAACUGAUUCAGUUGGCAAACCAUAUAUCCAUCCCCUAAUCAAUCCUUUGCAUCAGGCAAAAACACACAACUAAUUACAAGUCAAAACAAAUAUCAAAAAAAAAAAAAAAAAAAAAUUACAAGUCAAAACAAAUAUCAAAAAAGAAUUAUGUGUACGUUGAAAAAUUGAAAACCAUAACCGAGUGGAAAUGUGUCCAGGUUGUCCAAAAAGAAAAAAAAAAAAAAGGGAGUUAGUUGAAGAUGUCAGGGCAACCGGAAGUCUAUUAUCCAUAUAGCCAAUUCUGCAGCGAGAGAUAUCAUAUCACACACUACUGUGUCUUUAUCAAGACAUUAAAAUCAAUCAAAAUACAUGUCGCCAAUUUCCCCUUCUGGAUUCCACAGAAAAAGUUAAUCUCAAUGAAUUACCCCAAACAGUAAAAGAUUGUUUGAGUUUCAGUGGGGAAGAAAAAGAGAUGCGAAUGUGUGUGUGAGCGUGCGGUCACGACGCUGACAAAUACUAGCAGCACGUUGGUUGGAUUGGAGGCGGCCCACGGUCGGUUGGUCGUCCUUUGCUACUCUAUUCAGUACUUAGUAGUAUUCAACAGCUGCCACCCCCCCCCCCCAAAAAAUCCCCCCAUACGUACCCUCCCUUUCAAUCAAAGACAACAUUUCUUCCCUCUUUACUUCCUUCCUUCUUCCCAUUUCUCCCAGUACCAAACGCAAGAAAAAAAAAACAGAGAGAAAGACCCCAUUUAACUUCCCAACCUGUUCGUUCCAGACUCCUCUUCACAUCUUACUCUUUCUUAAUUUGCUUCCCAUACACAAUUGGACAUGAGGACGCUGUGCCCCAACUUGGAUAGAGAAGAUGCACUGGAAACAGUGCUUGAAGUUCCCAUCCCGGAAGAGAUUUUUGCUUCCACCAAGAACAGGUCCUGGCAAAACGUGAAAUCCUGGAUGAAGUCCCAUACUGAAAGGUCACCUGUUUCCCUCUUUGGUGGCCGAAACACGGAGAUUCAGCUCCUGCUCGGUGUCGUUGGCGCUCCUUUAGUCCCCCUGCCCAUCUGCUCUGAUCGCUAUUCUUUUAGCAAAAGCAUCAAAAACCACCCCAUUGUAAGUCCUUUUACUACCACUAAACCUGCGUUUGGUUUUCUACCAGAGUCAGAAUUAGAAUCAGCGAUAACUUCUCCAUCACUCAGUACCGAUUCCUUGUCACGUAUCACGAGACUUAUAAUUCUGUUAAUCCUUGCAGGAGACUUCAAUGGCUAAAUACAUAGUGCAGCAGUACAUAGCAGCUGCGGGAGGAGAAAAUGCUUUAAACUCAAUCCAUAGCAUGUACGCGAUGGGAAAAGUCAAGCUGGCCACAACAGAAGUUGUUGCCGGGGAAGGUCUGAGUAUGAGCUGUAACAACACGAGCAACGGUAAGGCUUCGAAGCUCAAGAGCACGAAAGGUGGACCAGGGGAAGUGGGAGGAUUUGUGUUGUGGCAGAAAAGGCCCGAUUUAUGGAGCCUGGAAUUAGUGGUGUCUGGUUGUAAGAUCAGUGCUGGUAGUGAUGGCAAGGUGGCUUGGAGGCAGACCCCAUGGCAUCAUUCCCAUGCAUCUCGCGGUCCACCCAGGCCUCUCCGUCGUUCCUUGCAGGUACUUUUAGUAGUGUUUUUUACUUUUCUUGUCCUCUUUUAAUUUUACGUGUCACCUUUCCAAAUUUUGUUUUCUUAAUUGUCUUUAACAAAUUCGCUUGUAAUUUGAUAGUUGCUUAAUUGCACUUAAUUGCAUAAGAGCAAGUAAUUAUUUGAGUAGCAAGAAUUGAACCAACCGGCAAGAUUGAGGAGUAGGUCACUCCUUUGUCUUGAACAACGAAAUUGAGGUCACUCUUCAUCAAAAUUGUUGGGUACUAUUGGACCCUCUUACUGCAACCAAACCAGUGUGAGAUAAACCUAACAAUUUCUGUCUCACACAUCGACCUUAGGUUGGAUCAUAUCUUCAUUCUCAAAUCUUUAUCGAGAGGAGUUAGUUGUGACGGAACUCGAUAAUAAUAUUGAGUGCUGUUGAAUUCUCCACCCCUAAAAACUAGUUCAAGAAGUGAGGUUUUCUUCACGCUUACAGCUGAGUAUCAUGUCCUUGGACGAGGAAUGAACCUAACAAAAGGUAGGUGUGAACGGGAAAAUAUGCAUUGGAUGUUUGAAAAUUUUUUCUCAAAAUGGACAGUUCCUCCGUUUUUUUGUUAUCUUCAGAGGAGGAAGGCGCAGCAUCGCUUUCAUCUAUCUGGAAAACUGGAACCUACAACAAAAUCCAAUUGGAUGCUGACUUUAAUGAGGACUUUAAAAAGGUCCGGCUCCAAGUCUAUCGGUUUGAGUUCCACCAUCCACGUUCUUAACCACCCAAUAAACCAGUUCAAUUCCAAUCUUUUCCAAGUCUAUCUUCUAGUGGACCCAAUUCCAAGUUGGACUAGCUUAAAAUAAUUCUUUCCGCUUUCCGUUGGAGUACAAUCAUCGUCAUCAAUUGGUCUAUGCCCAUUUUAUGCCGGUAUGAAAGCUCCUUCAUUUGGUCCAAGCAAAAGUUGUAAGAAUUGCAUUUACACGGUCUGGUAAAGCGUCAAUUAAUUGGUGCACAUCAAAUUGGAUCAAGUGGUCCUCCCCCUGCGGAAAUGCAAUUAGCUAAUCAGGCGGAGGACUUCACUGGUUCAGGCCCAUUUCGUGGAUCUUGCACUGUCUUAAGCUGGCAAAUCCAUUUGACUUAAUUGUUUUUCUUGGUGCUGGAUGGAAUCUCUUGAAAAUUAAGCUAAUUUUCAAGAUAUAAUUACUAUUGAAGAUAAACUAUGCUGUGGGUUUAUUACUAUUGAAGAAAUUGAGCUAAUCGAUUCUAUUGAAUCAUCCUCCAACAGGGUCUUGAUCCAAGGUCCACGGCCAACUUAUUCUCCAAUUCCAUCUGCACUGGUGAGAAGACUGUCUAUGAUGAGGAUUGCUUUGUACUAAAACUCGAGGCAGAUCCUUCAACACUCAGAGCCAGAAGCAGCAGCAAUGUGGAAAUAAUCAGACAUAGUGUUUGGGGCUACUUCAGCCAAAGAACAGGCCUGCUACUCCAGCUGGAAGACUCUCAUCUCCUGAGAAUAAAGGCCCCUGGAAACGACGUUUUAUGGGAGACAACAAUGGAAUCCACGAUACAAGAUUAUCGGACUAUUGAUGGUGUUAAUGUAGCCCAUGCUGGAAGAACAUGCGUAUCGCUGUUGAGGUUCGGAGAAAACUCUGAAAGCCGCACCCGGACGCGGAUGGAAGAGGUUUGGACGAUUGAAGAAGUUGAUUUCAACAUAAAGGGACUCAGCAUUGAUUGCUUUCUGCCUCCAGCCGACUUGAAGAAAGAAGAUGAAGGCUGUGGCAUUGUUCCUAGCAGCAGGGUAUCACGAAAUGCAAAAUCGCCCUUCAAGGUUCGACCAAAUGCUUCUUCUAGAGUCAGUGCAGCAGCAAAGAGUGCUGCAAAAGUUGCGGCCAUCGAUGAGGAUGAUCUAGAAACAAUCGAAGAUGACGACGAGGAAUUGUAAAUUUAGCCUGUGGUUAUUUUUGUACAUACAGAACCACGGUACAGGACACUGUAUGACAUUAUUAUAGAUGUGUCUAGGAUGCGUUCGAGUCGAGUCGAGCUUGAGCAGUGCUCGAGGUAAAAUAACUAAACUCGAGAUCUAACUCGAGUUCAUCGAACUUUUAGAAUUCGACCUCGAGUUCGAACUCGACAUCAAUUUACGUUACUCGAGUUCGAGUUUAAUUAAAUGUAAUCAAUUCAAAUCAAGUUCAAUCAAGCAUAUUCGAGCUCAAUCAAUCCUAAUCAAACUCACGUAAUAAAAAUUAAUAUUUUAUAUAUAAUUUUUAAUAAAGGAUAUUAUUGAUAUUUUACAAUAAUAAAAAUUAAAAUAUAUAUUAUAAGAAGGUCAAUUAGGCUCGUCGAAUUUCCGAAUGCAAAACGUUAAAACUCGAGCUUGACUCAUUGCUUCUAUCAAGCAGUUCGAGCUCGAGCUCAAGUUUGAUCAAAGCGAGCUCGAGGCGAGCUGCUGACCAAAUAGUUUGCGAGCUCGGUCAAACUACUCAGUCCAGCAUCAAUCCUAGAUGAUUUAGAAUUCAAGGAUUGAACAUCACAAGUAUUUUUUUUUCUAAAGUUGUUUCAUCUAUAUAUAUAUAUAUAUAUAUCUUUGAGAUAAUUCAAUGCUUCUCGGGCACCAGCAUGGUAACUCGAUUAUUUGGGCUUCCUUUAUUUUAUUUUUAUCACUUAAUCAUUAGAAUAUUCGAUAGCGCUGAUACACCCGAAUAUAGAACAUGAAUAUGAAAGAGUUACACUAAAUGGAGGGAGUCUUAUCACACUAACAAAAAAAAUGUGCGUUAAAAAUCUAUUGCUCUACUGCUAGAAAGUAAUCAAUGUGCGUUUGUUUUAACUUGCACCCCAAUUUGAUUGAUAGGUCAAUGUUUACGAGCUAAGUGAAACGAAUUUGGUAUUUUCUUUAACAAAAUAUUUGCCAGAUUUAUUUAUUUUUAUUAUUUUUUAACAAUGUAGAUAUCUAAACUAUUUUAGUAUUAGUCGGUGGGGCACCACUUUGGCGACAUCAAUGCGAAAUAUGACGAAAGUCGAACCCCUAAUUACUGUGCAUUAGAAAGUGAAAAUCCGAUUUUCAGAAAAAGUUUAGUGUGACAAAUUCAUUAGGUACCAGAAAAUUCCAAAUUUUUUAUGCUCUCCCCUCAAAAUUGAAAAUACUACCCUAUUUACUUGAACCAUAGACAUUUUUUAAUGGGCACACGAGUAAUGUCGGCCAAAAAAAAAAAAAAUACUAUUAGCAAUUAAACCGAUAAUGAAAAAGGGCAAAUGAAAAGAUGCGAGACAACUUGUUCGAGAACGUUCUGCAACUCGCACAAAUUUUAUCCAAAACACCAUGUAAAUAGUGGCCAGGUCCGCCAAUUACCUUCUCGAUCAACCCGUUGAUUUUGCACUGCAGAUUUCGCUAAGAGAACAACCCGUAAACACUCCUAAGAGUGAGAGGAAAAAAAUGUCGAUGGUUCCAAGCUUCUUCGGCCGCCGAUCCAGUACUCCCGAUGAAAUUUGGGACCCAUUUCAGGGCUGGCCUUUCAACUCCGACUUUAGCCCAUUCUCCGGUCAGCUCCGCACCACCUUUCCGUCCUCCUCAUCUGAGACUGCCUCGUUUGCCCACGCCAGCAUCGACUGGAAAGAGACCCCAAAUGCCCACGUGUUCAAGGCGGACGUGCCGGGGCUGAGGAAGGAGGAGGUCAAGGUGGAGGUGGAGGACGAGAGGAUCUUGCAGAUCAGUGGGGAGAGGAAGAGGGAAAUCGAGGACAAGGGCCACACGUGGCACAAGGUGGAGAGGAGCAGCGGGAAAUUCAUGAGGAGGUUCAGGCUCCCUGAAAAUGCUAAAGUGGAACAAGUCAAGGCAUCGAUGGAGAAUGGGGUUCUGACCGUCACUGUCCCUAAAGCAGAAAUCAGGAAGCCUGAUGUCAAGUCCAUUGAAAUUUCUGGCUGAUUUCCGAGUCGUCGUUUCUGUUAUGUCUGCGUCCUUGUCUUUCUUUCUUUUCAUUUUUUUCCCGUCGUACUAGUGCUUAUGUCCAUAGUAGUAAGUUUUUAGGGUCCAAUUGGCGAAUUCCGUCAGUGGAAUGGAUGUGGAUGCGUUCGCUUCUGUUAGUGCUAGGGGAAGCGGUGGUGUAUCUAUUACUGUCUAAUGGCAAUCAGAGAAUGACUCGAACUACGGGUUAUAAUUUGGUAGUAUCACAUUCUCCCUUUUUUGGACUAGUUUCUUGUGAGAUUAGUGACUUUGCAUCUAAGUUUCAGGUAUCUUUGGAAACUGGAUAAUGUUACAACGCAGUAACUAGCUAGCAAAUUGGAUCGUCUAAUUUGUUAAUAAUUGAUUAUUAUUUUUUUUUUUAAAUUUUGAUUUUGAUGUUGGGUUUUGGACUUUGGAUUUAUACCGGCCGAAAGAUGAAUAAAACUUGUGUGGCCAUUGACAAAACUGUUUACGAUAGUUUUGACAGCAUAUUCUGGUAGUAAGACUUUCCACUAGUAAAAUUUGGAGUUGGCGUAAAAGAGGGAGAGUGUAUUUGCAUCUCUAGCCUGCUAUUGAUUGACAAGACGGGAUGUGAAGAAGAAACAGAAUGAUUGAUGGCGGGGUAAUCAGCAAAUGUACUUACGGCGCCCUGAAUGUCUUUCACCCACAAUUGAUUUAUUCUGCUAUAAUACCGUCAUUCAUGCUCUAAAGAAGCAGGUGAAAGAGAUUAGCCAAUUGGCUGGCAGCUAAAUGAACUCGCCGAGAACAGAGCAUCAAAUUACCGUUGGAUACUAGAGAAAAUAUGGGUUUGAGCGUUCAGUCUGAUUCUCGAAUUGACUGUUUACGGAGGAAAGCAAUUCACGCAAUCUACGAUGACAAGGUCUUGGCUAGGAGGAAGCCGUAAUUCAUCCAGUGAAUUGUUUCUGUGUUGUGAAAAUUCUGAAAUCAAUCGCUGCUACAAACACUUGCAGAUCUUGAGAAGAAGGUUUAAAAUGUCAAGAACCUCCUUUAAAUUCCUAAUUCAGCAUCACAAUCACUCCAUUCUUUUGGCUGCAGGUAGAAUCCAUUCCAAGUUGAGUUCAUUUAGCCUACUCAUUAGAAGACGGUGGCAAGAAUUGAGUAUUUAUCGAUGCUUCAUUUCAAAACAAACCAAAGCCUACUCACUCGCGACUCAUUAAACAAAAUUCAUCAUCAUCCAUGCAGCAACCACAGUCAUGCAGGCAGACGGAGACAUCUCAACCAUUUCAAGACAAAGACAAACUUCCACUAGGCUUAGCCAUCUAAAAGCAUUUAGCCAGAGAUCUCAAUGGCCUUGACCUCAGGCUUCUUCGCUUCCUCUUUCGGCACAGUGACGGUGAGCACACCAUUCUCCAUGCUAGCCCUCACCUGAUCCGCCUUGGCAUUCUCCGGCAGCCUGAACCUGCGCCCGAAUCUCCCGCUCCUCCUCUCUACCAUCUGCCACUUGUCAUUCUUCUCCUCUUGCUCCCGCCUCCUCUCUCCGCUAAUCUGCAACACCCGGCAUUCCUCAACUUCCACCUUCACUUCCUCCUUCCUCAGCCCCGAAAGAUCGGCUUUGUAGACGUGAGCUUCCGGGGUCUCUUUCCAAUCAAUGCGGGGCCUAGCAAAUGCAUAUGUCUCGCUUGCUGUAUUUGGGACGUUGGCCAGACUAGCGUCUGUGAAAGCCAAGCCUACGAAGGGAUCCCAAACGUCCAGGGAAUAUGGGUCGAACACGUUGCCCCGUCGGCCACCGAAGAGGCUUCGAAUGAGCGACAUUUCGGAUGUUUUUGAGGAAAAUUGAUGACAAUGCUGCUGUUUUUUUAUGUAUCACGGCUUUUGAAGAAGAGAGCUGAUUGUACUGAGAGCUUCGAUCAAUUCUUAUCGACGACGAAGCCGACGAAGGAGGUUCAUAUUUAUAUCAAAGAGGAGAGGCAGAGCCUGGAGUUUUCAGAGGAUCUUCUGGCCACUUGAGAUCCUCAGUGACAUGUUUUCUAUGCCAAUCCAAUGCCAUCAAUAGUAUUGCGCAAAGUGUUAUGUUAUUAUUUAAACUUGUAUUAAAUCAAGCCAAGUUGAACGCAACGGAUCUUUUGUACCACACCCUGUCUCACAUCCUGUCCCAUUCUUUAGAAUCUCGUCAAGUGUCCCUUAAUAAACCAAACCCUCAAACAACCCAACUCGAACCAUAUUAAGUUAAUUAAUCGAUUAACCGGGCGAAGAAACUUAAUCCCUUUAACCAUUAUAACCAAAACCAAGAAAAAUAAAAACUCUUUAAUCAAAAUCACAGUUUAUCAACGAAAAAAACCCUAAAAUAUUAAAAAACCUCUGUCCUCUCUUCAUCAUCUUCACCGUACUCUUACGGUUGUUUCAGCCUCUGCUUCACUGACGACUCUUCUUCUUCCUCCUUCGGAUUCCUCAAAAUCCAUUUCCCUUUUCCCCCCUCCAACCCAUCGAUGGAAUUCCAACGACUUUUUCAAAAUUGUCACCUGCGCUCCGCCGAAGCAUGGCAUUCACUCCACUGAAGCAAUUGAAACUAGUAUCGGGUAUCAAGAUGCUAUCUUUAUCUUUUGCCUUUCUAGAAAAUCCAGAUUGCUUUUUAGUGCCUAUUGGACGAGUUUAUUGCGGUUUCAUUUUUUGUUCUCUCGGUUGCGAUUUUUUUUUUUUAUUUGUGUUGCUUUUUUUUCUUUCUAGCUACGCAGGCCAAUUUGAUGUAAUUUGCUUAGCUUAGGCACUUGAUCUAGUUUUCAACUUCAAAUUGGUAUAGAUACACACAUUUGAAUUAGUUUUGCUAUAUCCUCAACUGCAUGUGUGUAGUAGUAAGAAAUUGGUUAUAUUCUCUAGUGUCUCUGUUUUAGUGUUUUGGAACUUAGGUGUAGAUGAUGAAACUAGAGGGUAACAAGUUUGCCUUUAUCUUUUGUUUGUAUGUGUGGUCUUUUAUUUCUUAUUUUUCUGACAGACGUUGGACCCUAACUUCUACCAAGGCUAUGAUUUGAUGUCUUCAAGUUCAAUAGCACAACAGCAUGCAUCAAUAAGUUUUGUCCAAGUAAGGAAAAACCUUGAUUAAUUAUUUAAUCUUAUAUAUAUUAGUUUGAUAAUUUACAAUUAUAAUUCAAUAUAUUGGCUAACUUUGGGUCUGUUUUUAUAGGCGCAAGAACUUGAAAAUAAUGAUGAUUCUGAUCAACAAGUUGUUGAAAAUGGGAAAAUUGAAUGAAGAUGCUUAUGAAGAAAUGGAGGACAAGACUGUGGGAUUGCGCUCAUGGAUUAAUUAGACCUUAUUUGUGUAGUUCUUUUGAUUAUGGUGGAUGAUCAGCUUGGUUAUUCUUGAGCUUGAUAGCUGGAAUUGGAUCUUUUUAUCUCUGAGAUUUUACAUGGUAGGAUUGUAGCUUAAUUCGAAUAACAUACAUUUUGAACUUUAAUAAGAACCAGAAUGCAGCCUUAUUCCACUUUGCGCAGUUGAAAUCUCAAUUGAUUUAAGUUGAUUAAUGUUUUGCUUUUUAGACUUCGUGGUCUGUUUACAUUGCAUUGUGAAUACAAGGAUCCUAAUGCCUGGGCUACCUUUCGUCUGUGAAAUUGCACGUAGUUUGUUUCCAUUUAUAAAAAUCUAUAGGGACACUCCCAGGAUUUAUUUGGCCAUGAAUUUCGUACCAGGUUGAUGAGGUUUCACUGAUGGAAGAGACUAAUUAGAUGCUAAGUUUCACAACUCACUACAUACAGGGAUGGCAAGGGUGAGAAUAUGACUGAUCAGAUUUUGAUUUUGAGUGGCCUUUUCUGCUAGGAAUAAUUUUCUUUGUUUGAGUUUUAUUUAGUGGGUAAUUGACCAGAAUUAUCUGAAACUGAUGCAUGGUAUAAUAUUGGACCCGAACGAGAGACCUCUGCUCUCUCUCCAUCCUUUUUUUUUAACUCAUUUUUUGUGUCAUUCAUGUUAAAGGUACUCCGAAAACUUGUUCUCUGAUUCUAAACAACUCGGGACCAAUCUCGUAUUUGACUGUUGACACCAAAUUGUAUAUAUAAUCCAUAUAACAAUGCUGAAAUUCCCAAAAUAUGUCCAUAAACUAGGCCCUGUACACCUUUGCACCCUUCUCUUUAGCACAUUGAGCCAUCCAACUCACAGUCUGGCUCCCAUGGUCAAACAUAUUCAACAGCCUCUUGUUCGAAUGGGAAGGAUAAGAUUCAGCAACAAUUUAAAUGCAGAUCCUCUACUAAUAGUAAAAACAAGUACAAACUCAUUCUCAAGAAUGUUCAAGUAAUCCAUAAUUUUGGUUUUAAUAUCAUGCUCCACAGUACCUUCCUCUGCACACCAAUGAAGUACAUGAUUGCUCAAAUUUGCAGUAAUUUCCUUUAAGCUAAAUAUAGAUGAAUCCCAAUACUGUAGCGUUUGAAAACAAAAAAACAAC
rnacentral:lncRNA from 1 species